CAGAAGCGUAUACUAACGUUGUUGCAGUUAAAAAGCUCGUAGUUGAAUUUGUUGUAGGAGCGACCUGGCCUUUUGGUGAAUGCCAAUUGUAUUUUGCUAAGUGUCUGUCUUCGGCAAUUUUUGGAAUUAGUAAAUCUAAUUCUUCUUUCACUGUAAAAAAAUUAGAGUGUUUCAAGCAGGCAAUCGCCAGAAUACUUUAGCAUGGAAUAAUGGAAUAGGACUCGUGGCUCCAUUUGGUUGGUUAUUGGACAUGAGUAAUGAUUAAUAGGGACAGUUGGGGGCAUUAGUAUUUAAUUGUCAGAGGUGAAAUUCUUGGAUUUAUGAAAGACGAACUUCUGCGAAAGCAUUUGCCAAGGAUGUUUUCAUUGA
rnacentral:rRNA from 1 species